GACGAACGCUGGCGGCGUGCUUAACACAUGCAAGUCGAGCGGUAAGGCCUUUCGGGGUACACGAGCGGCGAACGGGUGAGUAACACGUGGGUGAUCUGCCCUGCACUUCGGGAUAAGCCUGGGAAACUGGGUCUAAUACCGGAUAUGACCUCCUAUCGCAUGGUGGGUGGUGGAAAGAUUUAUCGGUGCAGGAUGGGCCCGCGGCCUAUCAGCUUGUUGGUGGGGUAAUGGCCUACCAAGGCGACGACGGGUAGCCGACCUGAGAGGGUGACCGGCCACACUGGGACUGAGACACGGCCCAGACUCCUACGGGAGGCAGCAGUGGGGAAUAUUGCACAAUGGGCGAAAGCCUGAUGCAGCGACGCCGCGUGAGGGAUGACGGCCCUCGGGUUGUAAACCUCUUUCAGCAGGGACGAAGCGCAAGUGACGGUACCUGCAGAAGAAGCACCGGCUAACUACGUG
rnacentral:rRNA from 1 species